rnacentral:lncRNA from 10 species
GCCAGAACUACUUGACUGAGCUGUUGCUGUAUUGGACACUUGCUCCCAUCUACUUUCUUCUCUAGAAUCCACGGAAGAUGUUCUAAGCUCAGCUUGUAUUUUCUCUGCGCCAGCUCUGGAAUGAGUCAUUUUUUUUAGAAGCAGAGGUGGAGCCACUGAGGAAGCACAGCAAUUCCAUUCUGCAUCUUUUCUGAUCACCUCCGUGACCACACAGGACAACCCCAUCAGGGCCCUGUCACCAGGCCCAGUCUAGCUCCAUGAUAACCAAGACACAGGCCCAGAGACAAUCGUCCUACAUUGUGCCUGCAUCUGACACCCCUUGGUAGGUAGUGACCAGCACAACAUGGAAGAAGCCAGGGCAGCAUGCAGCCAGCUGCUCUGCAGCCCCAAAUGGCUCCUGGGCCUUGGGAAGUCACUCAUAAAGGGGAAGCUGGUCACUUUGAGGUCCCUGAAGGGAAGGGUGAACGUGCAUCCCAACAGCCCUGGCAGCCAGCAGCAUGCCAUACAUAUUCUCACCCAACGUGUGUGACAGAGGUCCCCUCCUGGGGCACAAGUCCCAUACCUAAAGCAUCCUGUCCCAGUCGGACCUCAUCCUGAGCCCUGGGAGGGGAGGGGGACCAUGGGCCCCCCUGCAGCAGCCAGGAUUACCACCCAGGGGACUCGGCCUUCUGUGGCCCUGGCCAGACUUAGAAUUUGGCCCAAGACAAACUUACUCGGAGCAGCUUCUCAGUACCUGGGGCCUGUGCAUACCAGGCAAGGCCAAGCUGGCUCAAAGAGCAACCAGCCACCUCUGCAAGGGUAUGCCAGUAGCAGGUGGAGCAGUCACCAACCUCACGCACUCAAGGAAACAGGGAUGGCCAGUUUCCCACAGUCUGAGUGACCACCACCUGACAGCUGAUGGAGUGGAGGCCUGAGGAAAAGCAGAUGGCACUGGGGCUCCACCUCCAGGGCAGAAUAACUGAUUUACCCUGACUGGCAGGGAGUGACGUUGGUGGCUGGUCCACUGGCUCCUGGCACACCCUUGCAGAGGUGGGUGGUUGCUCUUUGAGCCAGCUUGGCUUUGCCUGGCAUGCACAGGUCUCAGUGCAACAAAUGUGCUGCAAAUGGAGCCACAUAGAGGAAAUGAGCAGCAGGCUCAGAACUGGGGUGUGUGCCGCCUUUGGGGCUCCAGUCCAAGCAUCGGGGCUUCUACAGCACUGUGGGCUUCUCGGGUGCCAAGAGGCAGACCACAGGCCAUCUUGAGGAGGACUCUGGUAAGAGCUUCCUUGUGUACGUGGAUGAUGUCCAGAAUGUUGACCUGGUGUCCCUGAGACAGCACUAACAGGUCCAUGACUGGGUCCAGAUCCUGCCUGGGCUGAUGGGCAAAGAGCUCACUGACAGUGUGGAAGGCAUCUAUGGUGAAGUGGAUCUAUGUUCAAGUGCAGAAAGGGCCCAAUCUUGCAGAUGAACCACACAGCCAGCUUCUGGAUGCAGGUGCAGUGCCACAUUUUUUGUCACUU